GCGCUCGUAGCUCAGCAGGAUAGAGCAUCGGUUUCCUAAACCGAAGGUCGCUGGUUCGAGUCCAGCCGGGCGCG
rnacentral:tRNA from 1 species